CGGAGUACUCAAGCGUUACCCGGAAUCACUGGGCGUAAAGCGUUGCGUAGGCGGUUUUGCAAGUCGGAUCUUAAAGGCCAAGGCUCAACCUUGGACAUGGGUACGAUACUACAAAACUAGAGGAUGGUAGAGGUGAGUGGAAUUGCUGGUGUAGGAGUGAAAUCCGUAGAUAUCAGCAGGAACACCAAUGGCGAAGGCAGCUCACUGGGCCAUUCCUGACGCUGAGGCACGAAAGCGUAGGGAGCGAACCGGAUUAGAUACCCGGGUAGUCUACGCCGUAAACGAUGGAUACUAGCUGUUGGAGGUAUCGACCCCUUCGGUAGCGAAGCUAACGCGUUAAGUAUCCCGCCUGGGGAGUACGGCCGCAAGGCUA
rnacentral:rRNA from 1 species